GAGCGUUCAGUUACUUGACGUAGACCCGAAACCGGGCGACCUACCCAUGAGCAGGAUGAAGCGAAAGUAAAAUUUCGUGGAGGUCCGAACCCACGAGCGUUGAAAAGCUCGGGGAUGACUUGUGGGUAGCGGUGAAAUUCCAAUCGAGCCCGGAGAUAGCUGGUUCUCCCCGAAAUAGCUUUAGGGCUAGCCUCAAGGUGAGAGAUACGGAGGUAGAGCACUGAAUGUCCUAGGGGGUAUUGCACCUACCGAAGACUAUCAAACUCCGAAUGCCGUCAUCUUAUACUUGGGAGUCAGACUGUGGGUGAUAAGAUUCAUAGUCGAAAGGGCAACAGCCCAGAUCGUCAGCUAAGGUCCCUAAAUGUAAGUUAAGUGGUAAAGGAUGUGGGAUUGCACAGACAACCAGGAUGUUGGCUUAGAAGCAGCCACUCAUUCAAAGAGUGCGUAAUAGCUCACUGGUCGAGUGAUCCUGCGCCGAAGAUUUCCGGGGCUAAAACUUACUACCGAAGCUACGGCAUCAGUAAUGAUGGGUAGGGGAGCUUCCCAUACGGGUUGAAGCAUGACCGUAAGGACAUGUGGACAGUAUGGGAGUGAGAAUGUUGGCAUGAGUAGCGAGAUGUGGGUGAGAAUCCCACAGGCCGUAAACCCAAGGUUUCCAGGGGAAGGUUCGUCCGCCCUGGGUUAGUCGGGACCUAAGCUGAGGCCGAAAGGCGUAGGUGAUGGACAACAGGUUGAUAUUCCUGUAC
rnacentral:rRNA from 1 species